ACUCAAAUUUGUCCAACGGUGUUUUUUUUGUUAUAGAAUUUCAAGGAUCCAUUGACAGACUCUCAAUUAUAUUACUCUACGAUCGACAAACAAUUUACUUGUGGGAAAGAGCUAAAGAUUCGAGGACGAAUUUUCUUGAGGAAUGGUGGAAUGAUACGAAUCUCAAGACCCAAUUUCACAUUUAUGGAUGUGAUGGGCUUACACUACCUCAAGGCCCAACAACAAGGUUAAAUGUCAAACAAAUCAAACCAAGAUUCGAUCAAAGCUAGUAUAUGAUAAUGAAUCUUUUCGAGGAAAUGGAGAAUGAUACAUGCACAGAAUGAGUGAAAUGUAUUAAAGUCAAUUCAAUCAAGCUGUCAACUUUCAAGCUGAAAAGAUUAGUCAACUUAUGACAAAUUUUUGGAUGGGAUCCAACCAUUUUUGGAUUAA